rnacentral:rRNA from 1 species
GUGUCAGCAGCCGCGGUAAUACGUAGGGGGCGAGCGUUGUUCGGAAUCACUGGGCGUAAAGAGCACGUAGGUGGGUUGGCAAGUCAUGGGGUAAAUCUUUCGGCUCAACUGGAAGACUUCUCGUGAAACUACCAAUCUUGAAUAUGGGAGAGGAAGGUGGAAUUCCGCAAGUAGCGGUGAAAUGCGUAGAUAUGCGGGAGAACACCCGUGGCGAAGGCGGCCUUCUGGCCCGAUAUUGACACUGAGGUGCGAAAGCGUGGGGAGCGAACGGGAUUAGAUACCCCGGUAGUCCACGCCCUAAACGAUGGGAACUAGGUGUAGGGGGUAUCGACCCCCUCUGUGCCGCAGCUAACGCAUUAAGUUCCCUGCCUGGGGAGUACGGUCGCAAGAUUAAA